CACGUAGGGGGCAAGCGUUGUCCGGAAUUACUGGGCGUAAAGAGCUCGUAGGCGGUUUGUCGCGUCGUCUGUGAAAUCCCGCAGCUCAACUGCGGGCUUGCAGGCGAUACGGGCAGACUUGAGUACUGCAGGGGAGACUGGAAUUCCUGGUGUAGCGGUGAAAUGCGCAGAUAUCAGGAGGAACACCGGUGGCGAAGGCGGUUCUCUGGGCAUUACCUGACGCUGAGGAGCGAAAGCGUGGGGAGCAAACAGG
rnacentral:rRNA from 1 species